rnacentral:rRNA from 1 species
ACAUACACACAUACCACAUUGAACAUACUAGUUCUCAUCCGAUUACUGCAGUUAAACAACGUUGGAACUAAUGGUCCGUCUGGGUACACC